rnacentral:rRNA from 1 species
UAAGGAAUAUUAGGCAAUGGUCGAAAGACUGACCCAGCCAUGCCGCGUGCAGGAUGAAGGCCCUAUGGGUUGUAAACUGCUUUUAGCCGGGAAUAAACACCCGUUUUAUAACGGGACCGAAGGUACCGGCUGAAUAAGCAUCGGCUAACUCCGUGCCAGCAGCCGCGGUAAUACGGAGGAUGCAAGCGUUAUCCGGAUUCACUGGGUUUAAAGGGUGCGCAGGCGGACAUUUAAGUCAGGGGUGAAAUCCUACAGCUUAACUGUAGAACUGCCCUUGAUACUGAAUGCCUAGAGUAAAGCUGAAGUGGGCGGAAUGUGUUGUGUAGCGGUGAAAUGCUUAGAUAUAACACAGAACACCAAUCGCGAAGGCAGCUCACUAAACUUUAACUGACGCUCAUGCACGAAAGCGUGGGGAGCAAACA